UUAUUCUAGGUGAAAAAGGAGCGGGGUGAAUACGGUCCACAUAGGAUUUAACGGCUAGAAGAAAUGUGGCACACAGCGAGAGAAAGCUUGUUGGGAUGCCCAUGUUCCUAUGAGCUUGGACGAAUGCUUUCUAGUAGUCUGUGACCUUACAGUGAUGGGUAAUGCACUCCCAAUGUAUAGCUCCAGGUGAUUACUGAAGGCCUGAACCACACUGCUACUCCAUUCUCUGCUUUCAGAAAUACUCAAGAAUGCAUCAGAUGUUAAAGAUGUGACAGCUGAUCACAAGUGAAUGCUGGUCUGUCAGAAGGUUUGCAUAUGGACAUUUUUAGAGAAUCCUUGAAGAGAAGUAAUGUCUACUUUUGUAGCACCUAAAGGAAGGUUAGAUUUAGAUUAAUUGAUUCAUCUCUACUACACUGUUCUGUUCCAAGCAAGGAUGGCUUUCCCUCCUGGAGUCCCAUUGAUUUCAAGAGUAUAGUUAUUAAUAUCUAUCUAUAUAAUUCAGACAUUUUUAAGCUUCUGUAAAUUUAGAGACUUCUUCCAUCAAAUAUAGGACUCAGCUGCCUGUAAUACACUUCUCUUUGAGACUGCACCAACCUUUGAGUCGCAUCCAUCCACUUCAUACUCAAGUGAAAAGGAUUCAUUUAAAUCUAUUGACAACGCUCACAGAACUUAAUAAUUUAAGUUAUAAACACCAAUUUGUAAUUUAAAAAUCAGUAACAAAUUUAUGAUAUUUUAAAUGAAGCAAUACCUCUUCUGAGUUACAGGUCAAGUAAGAUUUUUAAGGCAAUGUCAUAUAAAAACAUUGUAUAAAGCUGUUCUAUUGAUACAAAGAAAAACACAUAGGCCUACAUAUAAAUGGCACUGUCAAGUAUUUUUAGAACUAUCCAACUAAGAGGUUAAAGACUUAAGUUCAGAUUUGUUUCUAGCUGAAUAAAAUUUGUAGUAUUGAUUUCCAGCUGCUUAAAAUGCACUGAGGAGAUUUCACCAAAACGGGUGGCAAAUGGACCCUAAGCAGGCUUCAUGAGGCAGACCAGCCCAACUCCAGACCUUUUCUAUCUACUCUGCUGUUCUCUAAUAUAUUCUACUUUCCAGCAGGAUGGGAUGCAACAUAAUUUAUUUGUGUGUAUGUGCAUCCAUGCGGAAGCCUAUAUGCAUGUGCGUAAAUACAUGUGUGAACGCAGUCAUUUACAAUAAAUAUGUGAUUCGCUUUGUUCUACACAUUAGCAUUCAGGCUCUGGCUGCCAAAUCAGGACAUCUUGAGUGUAUGUAUUGCUUGGAAAAUGACUAAAAGAAGGCAGCUGGAGUCUUUGGCAACAUGUGUGAUGCUGCUAACAAUCAUUAUGUAGAAAG
rnacentral:lncRNA from 7 species